rnacentral:rRNA from 1 species
GGCCCUUCGGGCCCUCUUGCCCUUCAGAUGUGCCCCAGAUGGGGAUUAGGUUAGUAGGUGGGGUAACCGGCUUCACCUUAGGCGGACGGUUCCCUAGCUGUUUGAGAGGGAUGCCCAGCCCCCACCGGAAAUGAAGACACGGUCCAGACUCCUUACGGGAGGCAGCAGUGGGGGAAUAUUGCCAAAUGGGGGGCAAGCCUGAUGCACCAUGCCGGUGUAUGAAGAAGGCCUUCGGGUUGUUAAGUACUUUUAGCGGGGAGGAAAGGUGUUGAGGUUUAAUAAACUCAGCAAAUUGACGUUACCUGCAGAAAGAAGCACCGGCUAACUCCGUGCCAGCAGCCGCGGUAAUACGGAGAGUGCAAGCGUUAAUCGGAAUUACUGGGCGUAAAGCGCACGCAGGCGGUCUGUCAAGUCGGAUGUGAAAUCCCCGGGCUCAACCUGGAAACUGCAUUCGAAACUGGCAGGCUAGAGUCUUGUAGAGGGGGGUAGAAUUCCAGGUGUAGCGGUGAAAUGCGUAGAGAUCAGGAGGAAUACCGGUGGCGAAGGCGGCCCCCUGGACAAAGACUGACGCUCAGGUGCGAAAGCGUGGGGAGCAAAMAWGAAYUARAUACCCUGGUAGUCCACGCCGUAWACARAUUKUYGACUUGGAGGUUGUGCCCYUGAGSCGUGGYUUCCGGAGCUAACCGCGUUAAGUCGACCUSCCUGSCGGAGUACGGCCGCAAGGUUAAAACUCAAAUGAAUUGACGGGGGCCCGCACAAGCGGUGGAGCAUGUGGUUUAAUUCGAUGCAACGCGAAGAACCUUACCUACUCUUGACAUCCAGAGAACUUAGCAGAGAUGCUUUGGUGCCUUCGGGAACUCUGAGACAGGUGCUGCAUGGCUGUCGUCAGCUCGUGUUGUGAAAUGUUGGGUUAAGUCCCGCAACGAGCGCAACCCUUAUCCUUUGUUGCCAGCGGUUAGGCCGGGAACUCCAAAGGAGACUGCCCAGUGAUAAACUGGGAGGAAGGUGGGGGAUGACGUUCAAGUCCAUCAUGGCCCCUUACGAGUAGGGGCUUACACACGUGCUACAAUGGGCGCAUUACAAAAGAGAAGCGACCUCGCGAGAAGCAAGCGGACCUCAUAAAGUGCGUCCGUAGUCCGGAAUGGGAGUCUGCACCUCGACUCCCAUGAAAGUCGGGAAUCGCUAGUAAAUCGUGGGAUCAAAAAUGCCCUCGGUGAAUACGUUCCCCGGGGCCUUGUACCCCAC